rnacentral:rRNA from 1 species
AACAGGAUUAGAUACCCUGGUAGUCCACGCCGUAAACGAUGAUUACUAGGUGUCGGGGGUCACAGACCUUCGGUGCCGCAGCUAACGCAAUAAGUAAUCCACCUGGGGAGUACGUUCGCAAGAAUGAAGCUCAAAGGAAUUGACGGGGACCCGCACAAGCGGUGGAGCAUGUGGUUUAAUUCGAAGCAACGCGAAGAACCUUACCAAAUCUUGACAUCCCGAUGACCGGUACUUAAUGGUACCUUCUCUUCGGAGCAUUGGAGACAGGUGGUGCAUGGUUGUCGUCAGCUCGUGUCGUGAGAUGUUGGGUUAAGUCCCGCAACGAGCGCAACCCUUAUCUUUAGUAGCCAGCAGUUCGGCUGGGCACUCUAGAGAGACUGCCGGGGAUAACCCGGAGGAAGGUGGGGAUGACGUCAAAUCAUCAUGCCCCUUAUGAUUUGGGCUACACACGUGCUACAAUGGCGUAAACAAAGAGAGGCAACCCUGUGAAGGUGAGCAAAUCUCAAAAAUAACGUCUCAGUUCGGAUUGUAGUCUGCAACUCGACUACAUGAAGCUGGAAUCGCUAGUAAUCGCGAAUCAGAAUGUCGCGGUGAAUACGUUCCCGGGUCUUGUACACACCGCCCGUCACACCAUGGGAGUCGGAAAUGCCCGAAGCCGGUGCCUCAACCGUAAGGAGAGAGCCGUCGAAGGCAGGUCUGAUAACUGGGGUGAAGUCGUAACAAGGUAACC